AGUGAACGCUGGCGGUAGGCCUAACACAUGCAAGUCGAACGGCAGCACAGUAAGAGCUUGCUCUUACGGGUGGCGAGUGGCGGACGGGUGAGGCAUACAUCGGAAUCUACUUUUUCGUGGGGGAUAACGUAGGGAAACUUACGCUAAUACCGCAUACGACCUACGGGUGAAAGCAGGGGAUCUUCGGACCUUGCGCGAUUGAAUGAGCCGAUGUCGGAUUAGCUAGUUGGCGGGGUAAAGGCCUACCAAGGCGACGAUCCGUAGCUGGUCUGAGAGGAUGAUCGGCCACACUGGAACUGAGACACGGUCCAGACUCCUACGGGAGGCAGAAGUGGGGAAUAUUGGACAAUGGGCGAAAGCCUGAUCGAGCAAUACCGCGUGGGUGAAGAAGGCCUUCGGGUUGUAAAGCCCUGUUGUUGGGAAAGAAAAGCAGCAGGUUAAUACCCGGCUGUUGUGACGGUACCCAAAGAAUAAGCACCGGCUAACUUCGUG
rnacentral:rRNA from 1 species